UACGUAGGGUGCAAGCGUUGUCCGGAAUUAUUGGGCGUAAAGAGCUCGUAGGCGGUCUGUCGCGUCUACUGUGAAAAUCCAGGGCUCAACCCUGGACCUGCAGUGGGUACGGGCAGACUAGAGUGCGGUAGGGGAGAUCGGAAUUCCUGGUGUAGCGGUGAAAUGCGCAGAUAUCAGGAGGAACACCGGUGGCGAAGGCGGAUCUCUGGGCCGUAACUGACGCUGAGGAGCGAAAGCAUGGGGAGCGAACAGG
rnacentral:rRNA from 1 species